GCAAGUCGAAUGCUCUUGUAGCAUGGCAGACGAGUGCGUAACACGUGCUUUACCUACCCUGGAGUGGGGGAUAACAUCGGAAACGGUGAUAAUCCGCCAUACGCCUUACGAGGGAAAGAUUUAUUCGCUCUAGGAGGGGGGUGCGGCCUAUUAGUUAGUUGGUGAGGUAAUAGCUCACCAAGACUUUGAUGGGUAGCUGGUCUGAGAGGAUGAUC
rnacentral:rRNA from 1 species